UACGGAGGGUGCAAGCGUUAAUCGGAAUUACUGGGCGUAAAGCGCACGCAGGUGGCUGAGUCAGUCGAUUGUGAAAGCCCCGGGCUUAACCUGGGAACUGCGUUUGAAACUGGGAGACUUGAGUGUGGCAGAGGGGGGUGGAAUUCCACGUGUAGCAGUGAAAUGCGUAGAUAUGUGGAGGAACACCGAUGGCGAAGGCAGCCCCCUGGGUUAACACUGACGCUCAUGCACGAAAGCGUGGGGAGCAAACAGG
rnacentral:rRNA from 1 species